AAGUCGUAACAAGGUUUCCGUAGGUGAACCUGCGGAAGGAUCAUUAUCGAAAUCGGACCUCGCGUCCGGUGACGUCUCCUCGCUGUGCGCCCUCGGGCCGCACGCUUGGAAAUCCACACACCUGUGCACGUUCGGUUGGCGGGUUUCGGCCCGCCUCUCGCCCACACACACUUUGUCAGUCUCGAAUGUAAAACAUCAUAUCAUAAUACAACUUUCAGCAACGGAUCUCUUGGCUCUC
rnacentral:misc_RNA from 1 species